AUGCUUUUACAACAGACAACAUUGUUCCUGACCCAUAUGACUGUUUACCAGAAUAUACCAAAAAGUACUCACACGCUGGUGCCAAAGCCUGAUUGCAAGCAUUGCGGCGCAAAGAGGUUCCAGUAUGAGACAAAUGGAUUUUGUUGCCAGUCUGGAAAAAUUAAGUUAGCACAGUCAGAACCACCCUUGGAACUUCAGAUGUUGUACACAAGUUCAGAUAGUGAUGCUGUACAUUUUAGGGAUAACAUUCGCUACUUCAAUGGCCACUUUUCAUUCACCACUCUUGGAGUCAGUCUUGACAAUAGAUACACAAACAUGAGGUCAGGAGUCUAUACAUUCCGAGCCCAUGGUCAGAUUUACCACAACAUCUUCUCAUUUGGUCCAACACAAGAUGGACCUAAGCAUCUAGAGUUAUACUUCUACGAUGAUGACCCGAGUCUACAACAUAGGUUUCGGCGCUCCCCGAACCUAGACCGAGAUGUCAUUCGAAGGCUUGUCAACAUCCUUAAGGAUAAUCCUUAUUCUGAAACAUUCAGGAAUCUAGGUGGAGUCGAUGACCUUGAGGAUUAUCGUAUUGAACUGAACACCGACAUGAGGUUGGACCAACGGAGAUAUAACUUGCCUAUAUCAUCAGAGGUUGCAGCUAUUUGGGUUGAGGGUAAUGAACUAUGUAAGCGUUUUGACCGUAGCAUUGUCCUGUUUGGUAAUGACAACAAGAGAUAUAGCAUCCAACCAUAUUAUGGAUGCUAUGAUCCAUUGUCUUACCCUUUGUUCUUCCCAAGAGGGGAGAUUGGUUGGCAUCCUGAGAUCCCAAAGAACGGUGUCAGCUUGAAUGAGAUACUUCAAUCCCGCCGCAGUGGUCGAAAGAAACCAGGUACAUAUAAUGAAAUUAGCAUUUAUUCAUUUUUUUUAUUAUCCCCAGUGUACUUAUUUUCUUAA
rnacentral:rRNA from 1 species